rnacentral:rRNA from 1 species
GAUGAACGCUGGCGGCGUGCCUAAUACAUGCAAGUCGAGCGAACGGACGAGAAGCUUGCUUCUCUGAUGUUAGCGGCGGACGGGUGAGUAACACGUGGAUACCCUACCUAUAAGACUGGGAUAACUUCGGGAAACCGUAGCUAAUACCGGCUAAUAUUUUGAACCGCAUGGUUCAAAAGUUAAAGACGGUCUUGCUGUCACUUAUAGAUGGAUCCGCGCUGCAUUAGCUAGUUGGUAAGGUAACGGCUUACCAAGGCAACGAUGCAUAGCCGACCUGAGAGGGUGAUCGGCCACACUGGAACUGAGACACGGUCCAGACUCCUACGGGAGGCAGCAGUAGGGAAUCUUCCGCAAUGGGCGAAAGCCUGACGGAGCAACGCCGCGUGAGUGAUGAAGGUCUUCGGAUCGUAAAACUCUGUUAUUAGGGAAGAACAUAUGUGUAAGUAACUGUGCACAUCUUGACGGUACCUAAUCAGAAAGCCACGGCUAACUACGUG